AAAUUGAAGAGUUUGAUCAUGGCUCAGAUUGAACGCUGGCGGCAGGCCUAACACAUGCAAGUCGAGCGGUAACACAGAGAGCUUGCUCUCGGGUGACGAGCGGCGGACGGGUGAGUAAUGUCUGGGAAACUGCCUGAUGGAGGGGGAUAACUACUGGAAACGGUAGCUAAUACCGCAUAACGUCGCAAGACCAAAGAGGGGGACCUUCGGGCC
rnacentral:rRNA from 1 species